rnacentral:rRNA from 1 species
UACGGGGGGGGCAAGCGUUGUUCGGAAUUACUGGGCGUAAAGGGCUCGUAGGCGGCCAAUUAAGUCAGACGUGAAAUCCCCAGGCUCAACCUGGGAACUGCGUCUGAUACUGGUUGGCUUGAAUUCGGGAGAGGGAUGCAGAAUUCCAGGUGUAGCGGUGAAAUGCGUAGAUAUCUGGAGGAAUACCGGUGGCGAAGGCGGCAUCCUGGACCGAGAUUGACACUGAGGAGCGAAAGCCAGGGGAGCAAACGGG